AAACAAGCUGCCUUUGGAAGAGCUCAUUCACUUACUUAUGACUAAUGAGUUGAGUAUGCAUCAAAAUAUGGAGGAAGAAUCAAAGAAGAAUAAAACCAUAGUCCUUAAAUCAAUGGCUAAUGAGGAUAAUGAAAGUGAUGAGUCAGAUCAAUCUGAUAACGAAAAUAAAAUGGUCAUAAUAACCAAAAAUGUAGAAGGUUUAUG
rnacentral:lncRNA from 1 species